CCUACGGGUGGCAGCAGUGGGGAAUAUUGCGCAAUGGGCGAAAGCCUGACGCAGCGACGCCGCGUGAGGGAUGAAGGUCUUCGGAUCGUAAACCUCUGUCAGCAGGGAAGAACGGUCACUGUGCUAAUCAGCAGUGAAUCUACGGUACCUGCAAAGGAAGCACCGGCUAACUCCGUGCCAGCAGCCGCGGUAAUACGGAGGGUGCGAGCGUUGUUCGGAUUUACUGGGCGUAAAGGGCUCGUAGGCGGUAUGUUAAGUCAAGGGUGAAAUCCCCGGGCUCAACGUGGGAACUGCCUUUGAAACUGGCAGACUAGAGUGUGAGAGAGGAUAGUGGAAUUCCAGGUGUAGCGGUGAAAUCCGUAGAUAUCAGGAGGAACAUCAGUGGCGAAGGCGACUAACUGGCACAUAACUGACGCUGAGGAGCGAAAGCGUGGGUAGCAAACAGGAUUAGAUACCCGAGUAGUC
rnacentral:rRNA from 1 species